rnacentral:rRNA from 1 species
UACAGAGGGGGCGAGCGUUGUUCGGAAUUACUGGGCGUAAAGGGCGCGUAGGCGGCCUGCUAAGUCAUACGUGAAAUCCCUCGGCUCAACCGAGGAACUGCGUCUGAUACUGGUUGGCUUGAAUUCGGGAGAGGGAUGCGGAAUUCCAGGUGUAGCGGUGAAAUGCGUAGAUAUCUGGAGGAACACCGGUGGCGAAGGCGGCAUCCUGGCCCGAGAUUGACGCUGAUGCGCGAAAGCGAGGGGAGCAAACGGG